rnacentral:sRNA from 1 species
GCUCGGCUUUGUUAUCUGAUUCAGUACGUCACGCAUUUCGUUUUGCUUUAGAACAAAUUAAAUAAGAGGAAUUAGAAAAUAUAUAUUUUGUUUUGUUGAAAAGUGAAAAAAAAAAUAUAGGAAAAAAAUGUUAAGAUAAUGAGAAAGGAGUGAAAAUCGCGGAGAAGCAAAAAAUAAACGUCACGGCAAAUAGAAAAAUUAUAAAGGGGUGUGUGAAAUAUUAAGGAAUAUGUGCGAAAUUUAAAAGAAAAAAGUGAAAAUAUUUCGGGAAGUUUGUGGAAAACCUCUGUGACGGCGACAUUGUGUUUUGCAAAAUAGCAUAGCAUUCGUUUUUGCUCUAUACACAGCCAAGGAAAGCACCAACAGACGAAAACAACAACAAAAAGAUUACUGUGUAACAAAAGACCUGCUCCUGUUUCCUAGUCAUCGUCAUCCUCAUCUUCAUCGCCACAUCCUUCUAGAGGGGACGACGGGCACGGACGGCUAGGGGCAAAGCAUAAAACGUCUCGUAACACCUCGUCAUAUUAUCAUCGUCGUCGUCUUCUUUGUGGAAUAGCAGUCAACGCCAUUGUCAUUGGUGGUUGUCGUGGUAUUUUUGCGUGCUUUAUUUUUUUUUUCCUUCUUUGAUGUCUGGAUAUUUGCUGUGGCGGCGGCGGAGGUGUGUUGUUUUCCAGCACAUGAAAGUAAUAUUUGUCAAGGUUUUUACUGUAACCCUACUCGUCGCUCUGUAGAAAGAUCGUGCGUGCA